GCAUAUCAAUAAGCGGAGGAAAAGAAACCAACCGGGAUUGCCUCAGUAACGGCGAGUGAAGCGGCAAGAGCUCAAAUUUGAAAUCUGGCCCCUCCGGGGUCCGAGUUGUAAUUUGUAGAGGAUGCUUCGGGUGCGGCCCCCGUCUAAGUGCUCUGGAACGGGCCAUCGGAGAGGGUGAGAAUCCCGUCUGGGACGGGGUGUCCGCGUCCAUGUGAAGCUCCUUCGACGAGUCGAGUUGUUUGGGAAUGCAGCUCUAAAUGGGUGGUAAAUUUCAUCUAAAGCUAAAUACUGGCCGGAGACCGAUAGCGCACAAGUAGAGUGAUCGAAAGAUGAAAAGCACUUUGAAAAGAGAGUUAAACAGCACGUGAAAUUGUUGAAAGGGAAGCGCUUGCGACCAGACUCGCUUCCGGGGUUCAGCCGGCUUUCGGGCCGGUGUACUUCCCCGGGGGCGGGCCAGCGUCGGUUUGGGCGGCCGGUCAAAGGCCCCUGGAAUGUAACGCCUCUCGGGGCGCCUUAUAGCCAGGGGUGUCAUGCGGCCAGCCUGGACCGAGGAACGCGCUUCGGCACGGACGCUGGCAUAAUGGUCGUAAACGACCCGUCUUGAAACACGGACCAAGGAGUCUAACAUCUACGCGAGUGUUCGGGUGUCAAACCCGUGCGCGCAGUGAAAGCGAACGGAGGUGGGAGCCCCCUCGCGGGGCGCACCAUCGACCGAUCCUGAUGUCUUCGGAUGGAUUUGAGUAAGAGCGUAGCUGUGGGGACCCGAAAGAUGGUGAACUAUGCCUGAAUAGGGCGAAGCCAGAGGAAACUCUGGUGGAGGCUCGCAGCGGUUCUGACGUGCAAAUCGAUCGUCAAAUUUGGGUAUAGGGGCGAAAGACUAAUCGAACCAUCUGGGUAGCUGGGUCCUGCG
rnacentral:rRNA from 1 species